rnacentral:rRNA from 1 species
UACGGAGGGUGCAAGCGUUAUCCGGAUUUACUGGGUUUAAAGGGUGUGUAGGCGGGCUUUUAAGUCGGUGGUGAAAUCUCCGGGCUCAACCCGGAAACUGCCAUUGAUACUAUUAGUCUUGAAUUUUGUUGAGGUAGGCGGAAUAAGUCAUGUAGCGGUGAAAUGCAUAGAUAUGACUUAGAACACCAAUUGCGAAGGCAGCUUACUAAGCAAAUAUUGACGCUGAGGCACGAAAGCGUGGGGAUCAAACAGG